AUUGAACGCUGGCGGCAGGCUUAACACAUGCAAGUCGAGCGGAGAUGAGGUGCUUGCACCUUAUCUUAGCGGCGGACGGGUGAGUAAUGCUUAGGAAUCUGCCUAUUAGUGGGGGACAACAUUCCGAAAGGAAUGCUAAUACCGCAUACGUCCUACGGGAGAAAGCAGGGGAUCUUCGGACCUUGCGCUAAUAGAUGAGCCUAAGUCGGAUUAGCUAGUUGGUGGGGUAAAGGCCUACCAAGGCGACGAUCUGUAGCGGGUCUGAGAGGAUGAUCCGCCACACUGGGACUGAGACACGGCCCAGACUCCUACGGGAGGCAGCAGUGGGGAAUAUUGGACAAUGGGCGGAAGCCUGACCCAGCCAUGCCGCGUGUGUGAAGAAGGCCUUUUGGUUGUAAAGCACUUUAAGCGAGGAGGAGGCUACCUGGAUUAAUACUCUAGGAUAGUGGACGUUACUCGCAGAAUAAGCACCGGCUAACUCUGUGCCAGCCGCCGCCGUAAAAC
rnacentral:rRNA from 1 species